CCUGCGCAUCCGGAGCCUGUGCUCCGUAACGGGAGAGGCUACAACAGUGAGAGGCCCGCGUACCGCAAAAAAAAAAAAAAAGAACAGGCAAUAAAACGAAUUUAAUCUAGAAGCAGCAGCUCAGUAAGGGAAAUGAAAACAUCAGAAGUUAUCUAAUCACAGCCACAGCCAUCCAGGGCUCUGUCUUAUCUGCUGGGUAAUAAAAAUGGGACCUUCCUAAACUUGAAGGGCAUCAAAUAAAAUAAGUAGUAAAGUUGUUGCUAGCCUCUGGCUCUUCGGGGGAUUGCUAUGCAGUUUAACCAGUGUAUACUAACUACAAAACACUGUCAUGGGUUUGAAACACCUAUGUUCUAGGAAAGUUUUUUGGGGGGUGCAGGGGGAAGGUUGUUUCCACAUAAAGCAAAAAUUGAAACACAAACACCUUUGAGAACAGGGAUUGUUAAGAGGGCAGCAGAAGGAAGGAAUGGGCAGAAAAGAAUAUCUCCUCUGAAGUUAGGGUAGUUUUUCCAGAAGAGUAGGGUUCAGUCUCAGUUUAAGGAGAACACUUAUAAAUACCUUGGACAGCUCAAAACUGCUAUUGGGGAACCCAGAACCAAGUGAGCCAAGAAUGGAGCAGUGCUUUAAAACUCCUGGCAAAGCAGCAAGAGGAUGAAGAGUUGGUUUUGCAUCGUUCUGAACACAGCAGUAAAGAAGCAGAGGCACCUCUUCCCAAAAGGCGCCGGAAUCCUACGGCAUCAACGGAUCCGUCGCGGGGGCGGGGGUGCGGGGGGUAUUUCUCAAAGUCUCCCAGGGCACUCACCCCUCCCUACUCCGCCCCACUACUCCGUCCACCCUUCCUCCCUCCACCUCCAGGACCCGCCCACCCCCCGGGGGUGUGCAGCACUUCUUAAGCUCUAGCCCCCAGGGGCCACCUCUGCAGCCCGGACUCUUCCUGGAGCUUGGCAAGUUCUGGGACUGAAAGCCAGGCUUGCACGGCCGCCAGGGGCCACUCGGGCCUGGAGGUCGGGGGGUGGGGUGUGCGUGGGGGAACUAGAGCCUUAAAGGCCACCCACUUCCUUCGAGGGGACGAGUAACGCAUCUUCCUCACAGUGCUUCUCAGGGGUCAGCCCGCUCCUCACUCGACGGUGAUCAAUACUCACUCGACGCGGCUCGGACCACCUCCUGUGCCCCUGGACUCCGCCCUAAGGGUCCUCUGGCGUCUGUGACGGCGCGGGUCCCGGCCUCUUCAGUCGGCUCAGGCCAGCGCUUCAGGGGUCCCUCCAGUCCCCUCCCCCCCGGCACUUUCUCUAACCGAGGAAGGAGCGGAGAGGAACUUGGCUGAAUCAAGGGACCUGCGAGCCUAUGGAUGAGUUCUAAACCCGAGAGCCAAUUAAAUAUUAUUGGAACCUACUGUAAGGGCAGGGAAGGGGAGGUUAGGAGGCGGAGAGGCUGAGUCCCACGGCGGCGGUCCAGCCCCGGAACCCAGCACAGCCCUCCCUCGGCCCUUCCCCGCCAUCAGGACGAGGGGCGCUGCCACCCCAGCCGGGACCCUGCGCCUCCCCGCCCCCGAUUCCCCUCAGGACGCGCAAGUCGGCCCCUCCCCACCCACGCCGGGCCGAGCAAGCCGAGCGGAGGGCAGGGGCGAGACGAAGGGCCAAAGUUCCCCGGACUAAGACGCCCCGCGCAGGUCUUCCUACACAUCAGCUGCGGCUCUGGGAGAACGCCUGCGCCUCAAAGGAAACGUCUUGGAUGGAUGCCCAACUGCUACCAAAACCGGUGAGGGUAUCGCUCACCUCUGCAUCCUCGGUGUCUACAAGAGCGCCUGGCAUAUGGUAGGAGUCUAGUAAUUAUUUUUUAUCAAAUAAGUGUAUGAAUAAAUGAAUGAACGAUGAGGCUUUUUUUUUUUAAUCCCAUAAUGUCUUCCUGAAUACAUCCACUUCACAAAAAGUAUAAGACAGAAAGGCUUAGGGAUCACCAAUGUUUGAAAAUAGAUAGAAACACGCUGACUUAUGUAAGGGGUAGCCACUGCCACAUGUUCUGAAGCACUUUAGAAAGAAAGCGUGGCUUUCUUGUUCCAUACUUAUUAAAAGUCGAAUUCAGACAAAUGAGUGCUAGAGGUGUGUAUACUGUGCAUUGCGUCUGUUUCUGCAACGGUAGAUAAACUAGACAGCUACAUUCUCUCAGCAUAGAGGUAUUGUCAGAGUCACAAAUUGGACUUCAGAAUCCAUAAGGUCCAGAAAAGGCUGUCUCUGUCUGACAUUAGGAUGACAUGGAGGAUAUGACACACAAUGUGAACAGAGAUACAGGGACAUAGGAGGGUCUUCCUCCGCAUCCUCUUAAGGCACAUCUAACAAGACUUCUCUGACAACCUGGAGGGUGGAUGGCAAGAAAUAAACUCUUUCUGUCAUUGUUCGAAUUCUCACUUCCUUUUAUGAAAACAGAUUCUAUUCCGGAUAGAACCCUUUCAGAUUUCAGAUUUACUUGUUCUUACUCUAUUAAUAGUUAUACAGAAUUCAGAUAUAUUACUGUUAUUUGGCCCAUUUGACUGAUGUAAUAUUGACAAGAUGUGAUUUAUGUGCUCAGAAUGACACAGCUGGAGGGCUAUGUGACUGUAAUUACUUGGGGGUUUUAUCACCUUCCCUCCAAAGGGAAGUGUGCAAAUGUGAAAGCACCAAUUGUUCCCAAUUACUUGAGAUACUUUCUGGAAAUAUCUAACCCCUUCCUGCAUUUUUUUUUUUUUUUUUUUGUGGUACACGGGCCUCUCACUGUUGUGGCCUCUCCCGUUGCAGAGCACAGGUUCCGGACGCGCAGGCUCAGCGGCCAUGGCUCACGGGCCCAGCCGCUCCGCGGCAUGUGGGAUCCUCCCGGACUGGGGCACGAACCCGCGUCCCCUGCAUCGGCAGGCGGACUCUCAAUCACUGCGCCACCAGGGAAGCCCCCCUUCCUGUAUUUUUAUUAGCCACAUUGAAAGGAAAAUGAUCAGAUGAUUGUAUAGAAUUUUAAAGCGUACAACGUGCCUUUAAAAUUGCUUAAUAAACAAGUGGUUUAAAUAUCAUCAGAGAUGUUACCGGAAUUCAGUUAGGAUGGUAUGUGUCACAUCUGAUGGACAAUGGAAUGGUAAAUAACAAAUCAAAUAAGUAAAUGCUCACGUAGAAAAAUACAACAUAGCAUUUUAUGAAUAAGAGCUUAUUGCCAUAAUAAGAUAUAUAAAAUUGACUUCAUGGAUAUAAAUAGCAAAAGAAAAACCCGAAAGCAAAACUUUUUUUUAAUCAAUUUUCUCUCCAGACCAAAAAAAAAAAAAGCCUAAGAAGUAAAAUAAAAUUAGGAAUUUACCUAUUGGUCUGUGUCCUUCCAAUGGACACAAAAAUUUUAACAUGCGUUUGGUUGUAGCAGGCUGCUGACCUGUUUAACUAAGGGGAGGUGUUUGAUUUUGUUCAUGUAACCUGAUGUGAAUACAGAAGGGCCAGAGCUCUUGAACCUGAAGAUAUUUCAAACUAAGAAGUAGCAACAAAUCUUCAGGUUACUCGUACUUGUUAGACUGAAUUGCUGUGGUACACGGAGCUCAUUGGAAGAGCAGUUGGCUAGUUGUCCCCUCCGGACAGUUUGUACCAAGUGGGUGGACAUCCUGGAAAUAUACAAAAGUAUCCUAGAAUCUCAGGGUCGCAGAGUACCUUCCAUACCAAUGAAUAGCCCGCAUGUACUUACAAAUGGGCUGUUCAGUGACCAAAUUGUUUGUUUAAUUAUUGUAUCAAAGCAUAAUCUAAACAGUGAUAUAGGCAUUUGGCCAAGUAAUUCAUGGUGUUUAGUAAUUUAUCUACCGGAGACUUGGCCCUGGAAAAUAGUCCCCUCUAACCUACUUGAUUUUAGGAAUUUAGGAACAUAACAAGACCAUGUGAUUAUGCACUGGGUUGACUUUACUGUUCUGUCACCCCACCACUUACAUAUGCCCUAAUUUUUGUGGCACAUGUGGGCUUAGGGAUUUUACAAAUAGAAGAGCCAUUGUAGUAUUUUCCUCCACCUCAGUUCCUUGUAUUACACAUGUAGUGGUUAGAAACAGAACAGAUGUGACCAUUUGCUGGUAACAGUGCUAGAUGAUUGGGGAAAAAAAAAAGAUGACCCCUAAUCUCUCCUAAUUAUACACAUUUAUCUAUACAACUUAGAUAAAUGAAAUAUUAAUAUUCCAUAUGCAUCAUACGAAACCCAUCAUUCUUCCCUUACCGUUAACUCCCUGGAUAGUUUAUAUUUCCUGAUGCCCAUUGUUUGGCUUCUUUCCUCUCUGGUUUCCACUUUUUUAUUUGGUUGAUGUUCAAGAGCCUACUGAAACAGACACACAAGAACUGAAUGGAAUUUCUCAGGCAGGAAUUUCUUAUGUAAAGUGGCCUCUCACUGAACUAUGGUUUUGCUCAUCCACCAGACUUACAGAGUGCAGCUGACUCUGUGAAAAGGCUCUGUCAAUGGAACCAACCCCAGUGCCAAUGCAGGGGCUCAUUCAUUUACUGAGAGCACCCACUGAGAGGAGAUCCUUUUCCCAACACAGUUUAAUAAGACAUGAUGUUCAAACCUGAGUACUGAAGACAGCUUUUAAAAGAAUAAAACAUCCUCUGAGAGAUCCAAAGACCCAAUGUAAAAACACUCAUUUUAUUCUACAAAAAGAUGUUUCAAUUGUAAAUGAUCACUGCAAAAGCAAUGGUUUAUAAGAGGGAGUGGUUUCUGCAACUGGGCCUUCUAUAUGGAAAUGAUGAAUAUUUGGUUACCCUUUGAGCCCCUCCUAUGGUUAUUAUUUCCCCUCCUGGAGUUUAGGAACUUUUAUUAUUUUCUAUUCCCAUUUUCCAAAGAAUUGCAGAUGUGCUUGGUAGGAUAGAUACCUGAGGGAAGUGCAUAGGCUUAGAACAAAAACAAAAACAGCCUUUAUGCUAUUAGUACAUGGGGAAAUUAAAAGUUACCCCCCAUAAAAGAAUUUAUUGUGCUAAAACUAUAUGAGAAACUCUGAGUGGAACUUUGGUUACCAGGGAAGAGACAAGUCGCUUCUUGGGGAAGGGGUGACAUCACCAAGAAUGUAGUGAGAAUAAGAGAAGAUAAAUGAUGGCUGAUCUAGGAAUCUGCAGUUGGGAGUGAGAUGAAUAAGCCCAACUUCCAAACUCUCUCCUGCUCAGGAGUGGUAUCAGUGUAUUGCUCACUUAGUGUAGCUCUAGGGACCAUGGAACAGGGUAACAUUUUGGAGAAAGGGAAUCAAAAGUCUCUAUCCUAUUGAAGAUGCCAAAAGGAGGAUUUAAAAUGUGUUCCAUUUGACUAUAUUUUCAAAUGCACUUUCUCAAAAACAAAAGCAGGACACCUUCUUUAGAAAUCAUUUACACACAUAUAUUGCAAAAGGUAACAAAAUAUAUAUUUUGUUACCAAAAAAAAAAAGAUAAUAUACAGGAAUGCUUGUAUAUGAAGAGGAAGUAGUUAGAAAGAUACAUAUAAAAAUGUUAACAGGGGUUACCUUUGGGGAGCGGGAAUGGGGCUGGGGACUAGUGUGGGAGUGAGUACUUGCUUCUCACUUUAUAUAUUCCAUAUUUGAAAAAAAAUGUUCACCUGAAGUGGGUAUCCUUUUUUUUAAUUUGGGUUUUUUUUUGUUUGCUUUUUUUCUUGUGCUUGAGACUUAAAAAUUGAAGUAUAGUUGAUGUAUUUCAAUAUAAAAGGUAUCAUUUUUAUAAUAAUUAAACUUCUAAAAAUAUUUCUUUGUGUACCUGAUCUGUGCAAGAACAGAAGGCAGAAGAGGUGUUAGAACAAUGUAAGAGUGACAUCAUAGUGUCCAAAUGUGUUUGGAUGCAGAAUGUCAUUGAUAAUCAUGUUUGACUAAUAAAUACUGGUAUUAAGAUGA